rnacentral:rRNA from 1 species
UAGGGAAUCUUCCACAAUGGGCGAAAGCCUGAUGGAGCAACGCCGCGUGUGUGAUGAAGGGUUUCGGCUCGUAAAACACUGUUGUAAGAGAAGAAUGACAUUGAGAGUAACUGUUCAAUGUGUGACGGUGUCUUACCAGAAAGGAACGGCUAAAUACGUGCCAC